GAUGAACGCUAGCGAUAGGCUUAACACAUGCAAGUCGAGGGGCAGCAUGGUCUUAGCUUGCUAAGGCUGAUGGCGACCGGCGCACGGGUGCGUAACGCGUAUGCAACUUGCCUCACAGAGGGGGAUAACCCGUCGAAAGACGGACUAAUACCGCGUACACUCUAUGUUGGGCAUCCAAUGUAGAGGAAAUGAAAUUCGCUGUGAGAUAGGCAUGCGUCCCAUUAGCUAGUUGGUGAGGUAACGGCUCACCAAGGCGACGAUGGGUAGGGGAACUGAGAGGUUGAACCCCCACACUGGUACUGAGACACGGACCAGACUCCUACGGGAGGCAGCAGUGAGGAAGAUUGGUCAAUGGGCGAGAGCCUGAACCAGCCAAGUCGCGUGAAGGAUGACUGUCUUAUGGAUUGUAAACUUCUUUUAUACGGGAAUAACAAGAGUCACGUGUGGCUCCCUGCAUGUACCGUAUGAAUAAGCAUCGGCUAACUCCGUG
rnacentral:rRNA from 1 species